rnacentral:rRNA from 1 species
AGACGGCGGGUGGUGGAUGGCUCGGCUCGGGACGCCGAAGAAGGGCGUGGCAAGCUGCGAUAAGCCCCGGCGAGGCGCAGGCAGCCGUGGAGCCGGGGAUCCCCGAAUGGGACCUCCUGCCUGGGCCUAAUAAGCCCAGGCGCCCCGAAAGGGGCGGGAACCCCCCGAAGUGAAACAUCUCAGUAGGGGGAGGAAAAGAAACCAAAACGGGAUGCCGGGAGUAGGGGCGACCGAAACCGGCACAGCCCAAACUGAACCGGGUGGGGCAACCCACUCGGGAUGUGGGGUUGUAGGACACUCCCACACGCAGUCUUUCCCGGUGAAGCCGAACCGCCUGGAAUGGCGGGCCGUAGAGGGUGACAGCCCCGUAGGCGAAGCCGGGAGAGACUGCGGGAGUGUCCUGAGUAGGGUGCGUUGGAUAUCGCGCCCGAAGCAGGGGGCCACCAGCCUCCAAGGCUAAAUACGUCCCGAGACCGAUAGCGCACUAGUAGGGUGACC